rnacentral:lncRNA from 12 species
GUAGCUGCUUCACUGACGUCCAGGGGUUUUUGCCAUCCACACGGCACAGAUUUUUUUGAUUAUGUAGAUUUUUUUUUUUUCCUCCUCUAUUGCAGUUUCAUAUGCAAAGCAUGCAUCAGCCACAUCCAUGCUAUCUCCUAAAGCAGUCAUUCUGAAACCCAAUCUGGGGACACUGCAGACUAAAUAAAAUUUCAUUUUGAUUUGGCCUCCCGCUGCGAAUGGGACUGCUUUGUUUCAGCCGACAGAACCAGCAAGCCAGAAAGGUGUUGAAUACACAAAUACUGACUUAACAGAAAAUUAUGUUUUGUUUCAAAAAUACAGAAGCUGCUUCUGACCUAAUUGAUCAAAACUGCUUCUCUUCAGGAAAAAGUGCAAAAUAUCUUCUUUUCAAGGCAAAUGAAUUUGGGGACUGGUGAGAGAGAGAAAGGGUGGUUGUGGCAGAGGAAAUAUUUUUAUCCAGGCCUCAGGAAACGGUGGUCUGGCUGCAGUGGUGCGGAUGGUUACAUGAACAGAAUUUGCUCAGGGCAAAGCCUGCCAUCACUUACAUCUGCCCCCAAACUCCUGGACUGCAAGAGCUGA